ACAUCAUUUACAGAGGAAGAGUACACCAAACUUAUGGAGAAACAAGAGCUGUUCUUGAUCAAACAAAGAAGCCAAAUUGAGGAAACCAAACGACAUAAGUGGUUUAGAGACUGCCAGGACUACCAAAAUGGAAAAGUCUACACAUGGGAUAAUCUUACAUAAUUAUCGAGAAGACAAUUUAGAAAAGAUACGGCCAAAACAUCUUUAGUGGAAGCUAAUCAAGACCACCAAGCAUCUGGGAACAACAAAGAAAGCACUGCGGUCCCUUUUUUAUCAAGUCCGCCAUCCGCAGGGGACGGCAAAGAAGGGGAGGUCGGAAACACUUUAGAAUCCGCAAGAACAAGAGCCGAGAGGAAUCCCAAACCUGCAAUACAAAAGACCCAAUUACAGAAGAAGAAAUAGACAGUACAGAGAACAGAACUGUGACUAUCUCCAUUUGGUCGACCAGUCACGAUAUGACUUUCCAAGGAUUAAUUCGGUUUACCUUUGCGGCCAUACAAGUUGCUUUCCUGCACUUCACUAGUAUCAAGCCGGGGACAUUUAAGAUGGCGAACGUGGACGCUCUGAGCAUGCGCAAGCUCUUUUCAUCAGUAGCUGGAGAGUGUAACUAUGGAUGCUAUGCAAAACGGAAGUGAGGCAUAUGUCACCGGAAACAGACGCAUUAUGUUUACAAGGCCGCCCACGGCCUCCCACGCUGGAGACGGCAGGAUGUAUUGGAAAGGAAUCGUGACUGGAAACCCCUGGAGAUGAAUAACACAAGCACUUGCUCUUUUCACUGAGGUGGGAUGUAUAUACCACAUAUUACGAAUCGGAUACUUGAAAGCACUGAUAAUGUAUAUAUAAUUAUGUACAUAUGCUAUUUUAUGAUAAUAUGUACUUUAUUCAUGUAUUUUGUACUUUGAUUGAUUUGUUUAUAUAUGUAAAUUCACUGUUGAUGAUGUCAUUCUA